UGACUUAGGGCUCCUGCACUCUUUAAAGCUGCCUGCGUGGCGUUUUCUAUGUCUUUGCACACCAGAAACGUGUCUGACGCAGUGCGCUGCUGCUAGCCUUGUAUGUACACAUGUAUGUUUCCCAUUGAUAAAAUG